rnacentral:ribozyme from 1 species
UGUCUAGCAACUCCUAUCCCUACCUCCUCGUGGUACUUGCUGGGGUACGAGUAACCUUUGGGAAGAUCGGGUAACCAACCCCGAUGGGAACUUUGGUCGUAUGCUGACAGGAAAAAGG